GCUCGCUUGGUGAAAAUGGUAAACACGAUGGAUUUAAAAUCCGUUCUCAUAGAGUUACUGGUUCAAGUCCAGUAGCGAGUA
rnacentral:tRNA from 1 species